rnacentral:lncRNA from 1 species
CAUGGUGUCCCUGCAGGCCGUGUGGCCGUUCUGGGCACUGCUGGGCUGGAGAGGCACAGCCAGGGAAAGAGCCAGUUGUGCCUUCCGCGGAAAAGACCCCUCCCCUGCGCUGUCCCUGCGGCCCCCCUGCCCCUUCACAGGGAACGCAAACCCUCGAUGCAUCUCACUGUCAUUUGCUUCGUGGCAACUAACCAACAUCCAGACCGUCUACCUGGAUCAAAAAGAAAAUGGAGAUUUAGAAAUUAGGCAUUUAUUUCUAUCAAUGCACGUGGCCAAACUGGAGAUUUUGGUAUCUGAAGGGCAUUAUUGAAGGCAAAACUGCAGCCCUUCCCCACAGAGCUGUCUAAUCAUCUCUAUUAUAUACGGAACAGAUUAGGAGGGGAUUCAUUUUUUUCCUUUCUUUCUUUUUUUUUUGAAACAGGGUCUCACUAACUUACCCAGACCAACCUCGAACUGGCAAUCCUCCUGCCUCAGCCUCCAGAGUGGUCGGGAUUACAGGAAUACACCAAGUUACCUGGCUGAAGUAAGGAAUUUUUAAACACCGGAUGCUGUGGAAACACAACAUCAUUCAUUCUCCAAGCUGCAGACACACACUUGGAUCCCUGAGUGUUGGGGGAACAUAGGCAGGGUGAUGUGUUCCAAUUAGCAGUCUCCAUUUUCCCAUUACACCAAGGAUUUUGAAUUCAACAGGAUUAACUUGUAGAUAGCUGGGGUUCAUCCACACCUUUAGUUUGACCCUAAAAAAGGUACUGAAACAAAUCUGAUAAAACAGACGUAUAGCCAUCUUUUGUAGAAGCUCAACUCCAGGGUAGAAGCCCGACCCAGGAAACACAAGGGUGUCUGGCUUGCGUCUCUGAUCCAAGAUUUCAAUUUAGUGAUGCUUAAGUCCAUGGCACAAAACAAAGCACACAGAAGUUUCAAAGCUUUGUACCUGCCAUUAAAUCUAAGUCCUUGUCAGGUAUUGAAGGAAGGAAUGCUACAUAACAUGUGCUAGGAUCCAUACUUCCCAAUCGAAGUCCUCACUCAGCUUUCUGGCUUCCUGCACAGCCUUGGUCAACCUCACCUACUACUCAAGAGUGAUGCUACUACCCAGGUGGCCGCUCCUCUCAGAGGCUGCAGAGUUUACAGUGCCAUGUCCUCAUGUAACAAGGACUGCUACCACUUCUCAGGUCUCUCUCUGGGCUGGCUAGAGGAGAAGGGCAGAGGCUGUCCUAGAAACACAGGUGAGUUUGAGCAUCUAGAAAUGAGUGGCCGGAAAAGGGAGGGGGUGAGCCAAAGGGACCCAGAGAGUAGUAUCCACAGCGUGUUCCAAGGAUAAUGGAGAGACUGAGGGCUUGGAUGAGAAAACAGGUUUGCAGAAGAAAAAAUGGAAAGCAAGACAGGAAACACUAUUAUCUGCAUUUAUACAAAAGAAAAUAUGGAUCAUAUCACAUGCUGGAUUAAGUUACCAGAAAACCUGGAUAUCGUUUUCAUGUGACUUGGAGCAAGAAUACUAACUUUUCCUCCUUCUAUUUCCUUAUCUAUAAAACAGAGAUGAAGAUAUUAAGAAUACCAGGAGUGUAGCUCAGUGGUGGAGCCCUGGUUUACCACUCUCAAGGCCCUGCGUUUGGUCCCCAGAACUGGCGGGGGUGGGGAGGAAUAGUAGCAAUGAUGGCAUCGAUUUACAAGACAUCCCAAAUAAAUACUGGCCCAUCUCAUCCUCUACUCACCUUAGGGUUCACUUUCUCUUCGUAAUAGUUCCCAUGUCAAUUUAUUCCAUUUGUUCUGGUAGGAUUAGACAGUCCCCAGGGCAGCCCAUGGCCAUGGCCUUUAAAAGAUCAACUCAAGUUGACACCAGUGAAUCCCCCAAUGUCCAGGAGGGGGUGCCUGAGAGAGCAGGGCUGCUCCCAGGUAAUUCCACUCCACAAGGCCACGCCCUUCCUCCCAGGACAGGAUCCUGGAGCAGCUGGCCCCCACUCCGCCGAUGGCCAGCCAACUCCCCACUGUCCUCGAGGUGUCCCAGCCAGGAGGGCCUGGGCUUCCCAGGAAAGACGCAGCCAAAGCUC